GGUACCGCACAUCACGAAGUGGAAGUAUUGUAGGAAAAAGGAAAAUGAAAAAGAAAUACUGUGUUGUGGGCGCCUUCUGCACGCAAACUUCUGCCUUGUCGUGAGCACUUGUGUUUCGCGUACGUGCUCGUCAACUACAAGCAACCGCAUGCGAGUGCCCGCGCGAUCUGCAGAAACUCGCAUUUAUCUGGUACUCAAGAUCAAAUCAUCUGCCCGAAUCUUGGCCAAUUCCCCAGAGUGGCUUGGUUCCAAUCAUCUAAGGAGCAUGAUUAUCAAGAUUAACAUAUGUAUUAUUUCAAGUACCACAUGUUUUGCUACACACUUGUAACUCCUUGCCACAGUCACAUUUUUCUGAACCAAGUGCUUUAGAAAAUUGGGAAAUUUCAACUCGUUUUUCUGACCCAAGGUAGCUGCCAUUUUGUUUAUCCCCACAUGUGUACGAGCACUCAUGAAACUUGAAACGACUCCCACAAGUUGCAUACAUAUACGAAAUGUGU